UGAAGAUUGCGGUGUGACAGUGCUCUGACUCCGUAGUAAACGCUACUGGAGUUGAUGUUCGGUGAUUUUGGGCGCGAGCCAUCGACCGCUGUUCGCCAUUGCAGGCAUGACAAGUGGCUGUCUCUCCAUCAGGAUGUGCCAUUCUCUGCAUGGCCGUCGCUCCCACACAGACAGGCAUGCUGAGAGG